AUGCACUGGGAGAAACCACCAAAGGAAAAGCUGUGCUACCCUCCGCCCACGGUGAAGGAGCUCCUGGAGCAGAAGAGGAAGCGGGAGGCUCUGUGUGAGGAUCCUUCAGAGGGUCAGUCCUGCUCGCUGGCAGGAACCAGCCCUGAGGCCUUCACUGCACCGCCGAGCUCCUCAGCAGCCCAGUCCACGAGUUCUACAGGGGCCCCAGCCGAAUACCCAGACAUGGCCCUGAGCGAGCAGCAUUGGGCCCCGUCAGCAGAGAUUUACUACGGCCCUGGGUCUCUGUGGACCACCUACCCGGCCCCGGCCAGCGGCCCGGCCCCGGCCGGCUACAGCCUCCCGCUGGAGGGGUACCAAGCCGCCGCCAUGCCCCACACAUACGUAAGCCCUGUCCUCAGCCGUCGCAGAGGGCCCCUUCAUAGAGGGCCCCUUCGAAGAGGGCCCCUUCGUAGAGGGCCCCUUCAUAGAGGGCCCCUUCGAAGAAGGCCCCUUCGAAGAGGGCCCCUUCGUAGAGGGCCCCUUCGUAGAGGGCCCCUUCGUAGAGGGCCCCUUCGUAGAGGGCCCCUUCGAAGAGGGCCCCUUCGUAGAGGGCCCCUUCAUAGAGGGCCGCUGCUAGUCCAAAACAAUGUAAUUUUGUAA
rnacentral:lncRNA from 1 species